CUGAGGGAUCGUAUGGUGAAAAAUGUCUAUAUCAAUGCAACAACAAUUGUGCAGCCGGUUGUAACCAUGUUCAUGGCGAUUGUAAUCAAGGCUGUUCAGCUGUUGGUUUACAACCCAAAAGAUGUGAUAAACCCUGUUUACCAAAAUACUAUGGAUUAAACUGUGUAUCGAUAUGCAGCAGUAAUUGUGCUGAAUCUGGCCUCUGUCAUCCAGAAAACGGGAGCUGUGUGUCGGGAUGCAGCCCUGGAUAUUCAGGAGAUCUGUGUUCUACCGAAAUAAACAAGCUAAAAGAUGACACAAAGGAAUCAACUUCCGAAUCUAUUCCAUAUAUCGGGUUAGGAGUUGGAAUUUUGCUGCUGCUUGCUGCAGUUAUCGUUGCUUUUAUUUACAUAAGGAAGCGACAUAUUGGAGGAAAAAAUAAUCAACCCGAACAUGAAGGUU